rnacentral:tRNA from 1 species
UCCCCUGUAGCUCAGCUGGUAGAGCGGGUGGCUGUUAACCACCAAGUCGUUGGUUCGAGUCCAGCCGGGGGAG